rnacentral:rRNA from 1 species
AUACGUAGGGUGCGAGCGUUGUCCGGAAUUACUGGGCGUAAAGAGCUCGUGGGUGGUUUGUCGCGUCGUCUGUGAAAUUCCGGGGCUUGACUCCGGGCGUGCAGGCGAUACGGGCAUAACUUGAGUACUGUAGGGGAGACUGGAAUUCCUGGUGUAGCGGUGAAAUGCGCAGAUAUCAGGAGGAACACCGGUGGCGAAGGCGGGUCUCUGGGCAGUAACUGACGCUGAGGAGCGAAAGCAUGGGUAGCGAACAGGAUUAGAUACCCUGGUAGUCCAUGCCGUAAACGGUGGGCGCUAGGUGUAGGGGUCUUCCACGACUUCUGUGCCGUAGCUAACGCAUUAAGCGCCCCGCCUGGGGAGUACGGCCGCAAGGCUAAAACUCAAAUGAAUUGACGGGG